UAGAGAUUAGUUAAAUCAUAACACUAGUUUGUCAGGCUUGAAUUAUCUAAUAAGAUAUCUCUAA
rnacentral:tRNA from 1 species